rnacentral:rRNA from 1 species
UACGAAGGGUGCAAGCGUUACUCGGAAUUACUGGGCGUAAAGCGUGCGUAGGUGGUUUGUUAAGUCUGAUGUGAAAGCCCUGGGCUCAACCUGGGAAUUGCAUUGGAUACUGGCAGGCUAGAGUGCGGUAGAGGAUGGCGGAAUUCCCGGUGUAGCAGUGAAAUGCGUAGAGAUCAGGAAGAACAUCGGUGGCGAAGGCGCUCUGCUGGACCAUAACUGACACUCAGGGACGAAAGCUAGGGGAGCGAAUGGG